UACAGAGGUCUCAAGCGUUGUUCGGAUUCAUUGGGCGUAAAGGGUGCGUAGGUGGCGCCGUAAGUCGGGUGUGAAAUUUCGGAGCUUAACUCCGAAACUGCAUUCGAUACUGCGGUGCUUUGAGGACUGGAGAGGAGACUGGAAUUCAUGGUGUAGCAGUGAAAUGCGUAGAGAUCAUGAGGAAGACCAGUGGCGAAGGCGGGUCUCUGGACAGUUCCUGACACUGAGGCACGAAGGCCAGGGGAGCAAACGGG
rnacentral:rRNA from 1 species